ACGAACGCUGGCGGCGUGCUUAACACAUGCAAGUCGAGCGAUGAAGCUCCUUCGGGAGUGGAUUAGCGGCGGACGGGUGAGUAACACGUGGGCAACCUGCCUCAUAGAGGGGAAUAGCCUUUCGAAAGGAAGAUUAAUACCGCAUAAGGUUGUAGUACCGCAUGGUACAGCAAUUAAAGGAGUAAUCCGCUAUGAGAUGGACCCGCGUCGCAUUAGCUAGUUGGUGAGGUAACGGCUCACCAAGGCGACGAUGCGUAGCCGACCUGAGAGGGUGAUCGGCCACAUUGGGACUGAGACACGGCCCAGACUCCUACGGGAGGCAGCAGUGGGGAAUAUUGCACAAUGGGGGAAACCCUGAUGCAGCAACGCCGCGUGAGUGAUGACGGUCUUCGGAUUGUAAAGCUCUGUCUUUAGGGACGAUAAUGACGGUACCUAAGGAGGAAGCCACGGCUAACUACGUGCCAGCAGCCGCGGUAAUACGUAGGUGGCAAGCGUUGUCCGGAUUU
rnacentral:rRNA from 1 species